UUCGGCGAUAUCACAUUGAAACAUUGGUUCCCGUACGAUCACCGAAGUAAAGCAAGAUCGAGCCAGGUCAGUACCUACAAGGGUGACCGCUUGGAAGUACCAGAUACUGCAGU